rnacentral:sRNA from 1 species
AAACAAAUAGGCCCAGUUUCUGAUAAAUGCAUCCAUGGUUACCAGGUAUGUGACCCUGCUCAAAAGACCUAGAAAGUACCAAGUCUGUAGUUGCAAGGUGGGGACCAAGGCAUACUGAACACAUUUUUUAGCAGCUGGGCAACAACAGAUAUCAGAAAACACCUGCCGUUUAUUUAUAACCUAAGCAGCAUCUCUAUAUACUCCUACCUCCCGGCAUUUAAAGUGAAGAUGUCUCAGGAGCCAUAUCACAUCUGUCCCUUGGGGAGAUCCCAGCUAUGGCACAGCCGUUUGUAUCCUCGGAAGAACGGAAGGAACGAUGGGAACAGGGCCAGGCUGAUUAUAUGGGAGCAGAUUCCUUUGACAACAUCAAGAGGAAACUUGACACUUACCUCCAGUAGAAACACUGCAUUUUUCUGUGAACACAUCCACUUCACAAGCCUUGUUUCUGAUACUUAGUAUCUAGAGCUGGGUUGAGAAAAGUCUGUUACAGUUGCUAGAGGUUUUCAUUAAAACUUAUCAGAUGAGAGGCUUUUUUAGGAUAAGAGGUGAGAACUGGGCAAAAGUUGUGAAGCAGCAAUUCUGUUAUAUGGACAGUGUUCUGCUUUUUAAUCCUAUUUAGCUUGUUUCAGAAAUUCUCACUUUUGUUGACUGCCAACAUAUAAAGUAAGGGAAACUCAAGAUAUUAAGAUGGCUGUAUCAGUUCUUAAAAUCUGCAGAGCCUGGUUCAAAAUCAGUCACUCCCUUCAGAAGCAGACAUGGCAUCUGUUCCUUGCUUGCUUGUUGGUUGUGUACCUUUCACGAGACCUGAAUUU